rnacentral:rRNA from 2 species
UACGAAGGGUGCAAGCGUUACUCGGAAUUACUGGGCGUAAAGCGUGCGUAGGUGGUGGUUUAAGUCUGUUGUGAAAGCCCUGGGCUCAACCUGGGAAUUGCAGUGGAUACUGGGUCACUAGAGCGUGGUAGAGGGUAGCGGAAUUCCCGGUGUAGCAGUGAAAUGCGUAGAGAUCGGGAAGAACAUCCGUGUCGAAGGCGGCUACCUGGACCAACACUGACACUGAGGCACGAAAGCGUGGGGAGCAAAC